AUUGAACGCUGGCGGCAGGCUUAACACAUGCAAGUCGAGCGGAGAUGAGGUGCUUGCACCUUAUCUUAGCGGCGGACGGGUGAGUAAUGCUUAGGAAUCUGCCAUUUAGUGGGGGACAACAUUCCGAAAGGAAUGCUAAUACCGCAUACGUCCUACGGGAGAAAGCAGGGGAUCUUCGGACCUUGCGCUAAAUGAUGAGCCUAAGUCGGAUUAGCUAGUUGGUGGGGUAAAGGCCUACCAAGGCGACGAUCUGUAGCGGGUCUGAGAGGAUGAUCCGCCACACUGGGACUGAGACACGGCCCAGACUCCUACGGGAGGCAGCAGUGGGGAAUAUUGGACAAUGGGCGGAAGCCUGAUCCAGCCAUGCCGCGUGUGUGAAGAAGGCCUUUUGGUUGUAAAGCACUUUAAGCGAGGAGGAGGCUACUGAGACUAAUACUCUUGGAUAGUGGACGUUACUCGCAGAAUAAGCACCGGCUAACUCUGUGCCAGCCGCCGCCGUAAUAC
rnacentral:rRNA from 1 species